CACACACUGAGGAUAGACAAGGCCAGUUGGGGACAGGAGGAAGAAAGGAAGGUACCUGAAGACUGGACGAAAGAGGCAAUCUUUUUUUUAAAAUGGCUCCCAGGGCUGUGGCGGCGGGCUGCAGCGGGAGAGGAGGACCAUGAACAUACAUCUGGAGAGGAGGGAGCAGCUAAAGAGACUGUCGCUGGACAGCAGCCUGGUGGUCUCCGACCACCAGAUGAGCGUGCCCAGACGUUUCACCACC